rnacentral:rRNA from 1 species
GACGAACGCUGGCGGCGUGCUUAACACAUGCAAGUCGAACGAUGAUGCCCAGCUUGCUGGGUGGAUUAGUGGCGAACGGGUGAGUAACACGUGAGUAACCUGCCCCUGACUCUGGGAUAAGCGUUGGAAACGACGUCUAAUACUGGAUAUGAUCACCGGCCGCAUGGUCUGGUGGUGGAAAGAUUUUUUGGUUGGGGAUGGACUCGCGGCCUAUCAGCUUGUUGGUGAGGUAAUGGCUCACCAAGGCGACGACGGGUAGCCGGCCUGAGAGGGUGGCCGGCCACACUGGGACUGAGACACGGCCCAGACUCCUACGGGAGGCAGCAGUGGGGAAUAUUGCACAAUGGGCGAAAGCCUGAUGCAGCAACGCCGCGUGAGGGAUGACGGCCUUCGGGUUGUAAACCUCUUUUAGUAGGGAAGAGGCGAAAGUGACGGUACCUGCAGAAAAAGCACCGGCUAACUCCGUGCCAGCAGCCGCGGUAA